AGUGAACGCUGGCGGUAGGCCUAACACAUGCCAGUCGAACGGCAGCACAGUAAGAGCUUGCUCUUACGGGUGGCGAGUGGCGGACGGGUGAGGAAUACAUCGGAAUCUACUUUUUCGUGGGGGAUAACGUAGGGAAACUUACGCUAAUACCGCAUACGACCUACGGGUGAAAGCAGGGGAUCUUCGGACCUUGCGCGAUUGAAUGAGCCGAUGUCGGAUUAGCUAGUUGGCGGGGUAAAGGCCCACCAAGCGACGAUCCGUAGCUGGUCUGAGAGGAUGAUCAGCCACACUGGAACUGAGACACGGUCCAGACUCCUACGGGAGGCAGCAGUGGGGAAUAUUGGACAAUGGGCGCAAGCCUGAUCCAGCCAUACCGCGUGGGUGAAGAAGGCCUUCGGGUUGUAAAGCCCUUUUGUUGGGAAAGAAAAGCAGCAGGUUAAUACCCCGCUGUUCUGACGGUACCCAAAGAAUAAGCACCGGCUAACUUCGUG
rnacentral:rRNA from 1 species